rnacentral:lncRNA from 1 species
UGAGGACAAAGGAAUUUGUCUGUGGCCUAAGAUUUAUCAUGGGCGUGAGGGGUCAUAAAACCCCCACAUCUUCAGACCCCUAGAUCUCUCCUCCUCUGUUGGGGGGAGAGAGAUAAUCUGUAGGGUUGUGGUCUCCUGUAACCUGACCUGAUCAGGACAGUCAUGACAAGUGCAACCCAAUUUGACCCGAUUUUCUGUGUCCACCAUAGUAAGGACAUUCAGAGAAGAGAACAGAAUUGCAAGGCUGCCACAUGCAGGUGGAAGGACAGCUAUAUUCACUCGGGAGCAAGAGGCCGUUAUAGUUGGCAUGGUCCUUCAAGAUAAUGCAAUACGACUCAGAGAAAUCCAGGAACGAGUGAUACAAGACAAUACACACUUCCAGGGAAUCGACAGUGUGAGCAUUUCCACAAUUGACCGUGUCCUCCAUCGUAACAGGAUGCGAAUGAAACAAGUAUACAGAGUACCUUUUGAGCGCAACUCACCAAGGGUGAAAGAACUGCGAGCUCAGUAUGUGCAAACAAUAUUUGACUUGGAAUCCUUGGACAGACCCCAUGAGUUCAUCUUUGUCGAUGAAGCAGGCUUCAAUCUAACAAAGAGGAGAAGGAGAGGCCGAAACAUGAUUGGACAGCGGGCCAUUGUUGAAGUCCCUGGUCAACGAGGUGGCAAUGUCACAAUUUGUGCUGCUCUCAGCAACCAUGGUGUUCUACAUCACCAUGUUACACUCGGGCCAUAUAACACCCAGCACCUUCUAAGAUUUAUUGCCAAUCUAAGAGAUAUUUUAUUUGAGCAGCAGGUUCAAGAGCAGCAGGGUCAAGAGCUAAAUGAGAAUCCCAUUCCCACCUAUGUGAUAGUGUGGGACAAUGUCAGUUUCCACCAAGCUGCUCAGGUAAGGGAAUGGUUUAACAUCAAUGGGCAGUUUAUGAACUUGUACCUCCCUCCAUACUCGCCUUUCCUGAAUCCGAUUGAGGAGUUUUUCUCCUCUUGGAGAUGGAAAGUGUAUGAUAGACAACCCUACACCAGAGUAAAUCUGCUGCAAGCCAUGGAUUUAGCCUGUGGUGAUAUAGGUGAGGAAUCAUGUCAGGGCUGGAUACGGCACACAAGAGGCUUCUUCCCCCGUUGCCUCAGGAGGGACACUAUUGCUUGUGAUGUCGACGAAGUGCUCUGGCCUGACCCAGCCCAAAGACAAGAAGAAGCACAUUGAUCACAUGUUUACUCCUUUGAUUUUUGUCCCUUUUAGUAUUUUAUACUGUAGUACAGUGCAUUGUAGGCUGUAUACUGUACAAUGGACAAAUUGUAUGGCCCUGAACUUUGUGCUUUCCAUUUAUUAACAGUACUGACUGCUCAAUAGAUUUUGACUGGUUGCAGGUUCAUAUCAACAAAGAACAAGAAUUACAGUAUCACAGAGACAAGGGACAAGUUUGUGAGAUGCAGGGUACAGUACUGUAAAAAUAGGGGUACAAGGAGGAUAAAGAACAAAAAACAAAAUUGCAAAGAGCAAAGCAGAGUAGUAAUUUCUGAUCAAUUUUGAGCUACUAUGAUAGAACAUGUUUUCGUUCAUCAAAAGACAAUGACGGAAAAAUAUGAAAAAAAUUUUGAUAAAAAAAUGUACUCCUCCCUGAGAAUUGUAUGUUUUGAACAAUGUGUUUUCUAUUUUUCGGUGUAUUGUUUCCUGACUGCUUAAGAGUGUAUAUCAUUUUGAUCACUUUGUUUAUGAUUUGAGAGCAGUGUUUGAUUUUGAACACAGGUGAAACUGUUUUGAGGGGAAUGUUUCAUUUUGCGAGAGGAGUCAGAGGUUAUGUAAAUAGUGCUCGAAGAUGAGGUUUUGUGUUUAAUGUUUUCAGGAAAUGGAGCAAGGUUUCAGAAAUUGUGUUUUAGCGAUUGAGAAAAAUGGUAAUAAUCACAGUGGUUGUCGAGGGUGCAACAGGUCAGCACCUCAGGAGUAAAUGUCAGUUGGCUUUUCAUAGCAGAUCAUUCAGAGUAUCUCUACCGCUCCUGCUGUCUCUAGAGAGUUGAAAACAGAAGGUCUGGGACAGGUAGCACGUCCGGUGAACAGGUCAGGGUUCCAUAGGGUUCCAACAGCUGAAAUUGGAGCAGCAGCACGGCUAGGUGGACUGGGGGCAGCAAGGAGUCAUCAGUCCAGGUAGUCCUGAGGCAUGGUCCUAGGGCUCAGGUCCUCUGAAAGAGAGAGAGAGAGAGAGAAAGAGAGAGGGAAAGAAAGAAUUAGAGAGAGCAUACUUAAAUUCACACAGGACACCGGAUAAGACAGGAGAAAUACUCCAGAUAUAACAGACUGACCCUAGUCCCCCGACACAUAAACUAUUGCAGCAUAAAUACUGGUGGCUGAGACAGGAGGGGUUGGGAGACACUGUGGCCCCAUCCGACGAUACCCCCAGACAGGGCCAAACAGGCAGGAUAUAACCCCACCCACUUUACCAAAGCACAGCCCCCACACCACUAGAGGGAUAUCUUCAACCACCAACUUACCAUCCUGAGACAGGGCCGAGUAUAGCCCACGAAGAUCUCCACCACGGCACAACCCAAGGGGGGGCGCCAACCCAGACAGGAAGAUCACAUCAGUGACUCAACCCACUCAAGUGACACAACUCUCCUAGGGACGGCAUGGAAGAGCACCAGUAAGCCAGUGACUCAGCCCCUGUAAUAGGGUUAGAGGCAGAGAAUCCCAGUGGAGAGAGGGGAACCGGCCAGGCAGAGACAGCAAGGGUGGUUCGUUGCUCCAGAGCCUUUCCGUUCACCUUCCCACUCCUGGGUCAGACUACACUUAAUCAUAG